UAACCUCCCAAUGCAGCACAAGUAGACUUUAUAUUUAACAAUUAUUAAUUUCCGUCAGAUUGUUUACAGAUCUUAACAUUUA